AACGCAUAUUGCACUCUUUGGUAUUCCGAGGAGUAUACUUGUUUCAGUAUAAUGAAAAUCUCACCAAUGAAACUUUUUUUGGUUCAUCUGCGUGGACUUGGGUUUGCGAUUUCUAACACAAUUGCUAAUCUAAAAUGAAUUUCAUGAAGCUUAAAUAUGCUUUGAAUCUUUUGCUUAAUAGUUUUGCUUUGUCAAAUCUUUUGCAACUGGAUUCAAAUCCAAAAAGUGGAUUGAUUUUACGAAAAAUCAAAACCUUCAUUUUUUGAUCUGAAAUCAAGUAGGAUUACCCGCUGAACUUAA
rnacentral:misc_RNA from 1 species